rnacentral:rRNA from 1 species
GUUGACCGUCCGUACCGAUAACCGACACAGGUGGGUGAGGUGAAUAUCCUCAGGCGCUCGAGAGAACCAUGGUUAAGGAACUCGGCAAAUUAGCUCCGUAACUUCGGGAGAAGGAGUGCCUCCUCGGGUCAGAGACUUCGCGUCUCGAAGCUCAGGGGGGCCGCAGUGAAAGGUGAGCUGGAACUGUUUAUCAAAAACACAGGUCUGUGCUAAGGCUGAACGCCGACGUAUACAGACUGACGCUUGCUCAGUGACGGAAGGUCAAGGUGAGCGGUUAGCCGCAAGGCGAAGCUGCGAACUCAAGCCCCGUUAAACAGCGGCCGUAACUAUGACGGUCCUAAGGUAGCGAAAUUCCUUGUCGGGUAAGUUCCGACCCGCAUGAAUAGCGUAAUCACAGCUCAACUGUCUCAACCAUGGACUCGGUGAAACUGCAGUUGUGGUGAAAAUACCAUGUACCCGCGGCUAGACGGAAAGACCCCGUGAACCUUUACUGUAGCCUAUCAUUGUGUUUAGACAUUCCAUGCGUAGGAUAGGUGGGAGACGCUACACCGACGGGUUCCGGCCCGAAGGAAGUCACCGGUGAAAUACCACCCUUGGAGUGUUUGAAUUCUAACCUCGCUCCGUGAAACCGGGCGAGGGACCGUGUUAGGUGGGCAGUUUGGCUGGGGCGGUCUCCUCCCAAAAGGUAACGGAGGAGCCCAAAGGUGCACUCAGUGCGGUUGGCAAUCGCACGUCGAGCGUAAAUGUAGAAGUGCGCUUAACUGUGAGACCGAUGGGUCGAACAGAUGCGAAAGCAGGGCUUAGUGAUCCGGCGGAUCCGGAUGGAAGGGACGUCGCUCAUCAGACAAAAGGUACUCCGGGGAUAACAGGCUGAUCUCCUCCAAGAGUCCAUAUCGACGAGGAGGUUUGGCACCUCGAUGUCGGCUCAUCACAUCCUGGGGCUGUAGGAGGUCCCAAGGUUCGGCUGUUCGCCGAUUAAAGUGAUACGUGAGCUGGGUUCAGACCGGCGUGAGCCAGGUCGGUCCCUAUCUGUCGUGGGUGUAGGAAGAUUGCGGAGACGUGACCCUAGUACGAGAGGAUUGGGUCGCACCGACCUCUGGUGUGCCGGUUGUCGCGCUAGCGGCAGUGCCGGGUAGCUAUGUCGGGACAGGAGAAACGCUGAAAGCAUAUAAGCGUGAAACUAACUCCAAAACGAGUCUUCCCUAUCAGGCCCCUUGAAGACUACAAGGCAAUAGGCCGGACGUAUAAGUGCCGUAAGGCAUUCAG